rnacentral:rRNA from 1 species
CGAAGGGGGCUAGCGUUGCUCGGAAUUACUGGGCGUAAAGGGCGCGUAGGCGGCACUGUUAGUCAGGCGUGAAAGUCCUGGGCUCAACCUGGGAACUGCGCUUGAUACGGCAGAGCUAGAGGAUGGAAGAGGCUCGCGGAAUUCCCAGUGUAGAGGUGAAAUUCGUAGAUAUUGGGAAGAACACCGGUGGCGAAGGCGGCGAGCUGGUCCAUUACUGACGCUGAGGCGCGACAGCGUGGGGAGCAAACAGGAUUAGAUACCCUGGUAGUCCACGCCGUAAACGAUGUGCGCUGGAUGUUGGGUGGCCUAGCCACUCAGUGUCGUAGCUAACGCGGUAAGCGCACCGCCUGGGGAGUACGGCCGCAAGGUUG